rnacentral:RNase_P_RNA from 2 species
UCUCCAAAUCAGGCAAUUACUCUCACGUUUUAAAGCGUGGGGGAGGAAAGUCCGAGCACUAACCCGGCAUUUUGCUUGUCAAAAAGCUGGGAAAACGGUAGCGGGUAACUCCCGUCGGUCGCGAGACCAGAGGUGCGAGCAGAGACGCUCCGACAUGAAAGUGUCGGGGAAGCUAAACCCUAAAUUAAUGAUUUAAUCAUUGAUGACAGCUUAGUUCCGAUUGAGGGCUUAAAAAUCGGGGGUGAAACGGCAAAAUCCUUACCGGAGCGCAAGAGCAGCGCUCGCGAUUCGCUACUGCGAACCGCGAUGCGAAAAGUUGGCUCGCUUGAGACCGCAAGUAAUUACGGCCCCAGAUAAAUAAUUGCCAUGAGCGUUUAACGCUCAAACAGAACUCGGCUUAUUAUUUGGAGAACCA